AGAGUUUGAUCAUGGCUCAGAUUGAACGCUGGCGGCAGGCUUAACACAUGCAAGUCGAGCGGAGAUGAGGUGCUUGCACCUUAUCUUAGCGGCGGACGGGUGAGUAAUGCUUAGGAAUCUGCCUAUUAGUGGGGGACAACAUUUCGAAAGGAAUGCUAAUACCGCAUACGCCCUACGAGGGAAAGCAGGGGAUCUUCGGACCUUGCGCUAAUAGAUGAGCCUAAGUCGGAUUAGCUAGUUGGUGGGGUAAAGGCCUACCAAGGCGACGAUCUGUAGCGGGUUUGAGAGGAUGAUCCGCCACACUGGGACUGAGACACGGCCCAGACUCCUACGGGAGGCAGCAGUGGGGAAUAUUGGACAAUGGGGGGAACCCUGAUCCAGCCAUGCCGCGUGUGUGAAGAAGGCCUUUUGGUUGUAAAGCACUUUAAGCGAGGAGGAGGAGCUCUAGAUUAAUACUCUAGAUGCUUGGACGUUACUCGCAGAAUAAGCACCGGCUAACUCUGUGCCAGCAGCCGCGGUAAUACAGAGGGUGCAAGCGUUAAUCGGAUUUACUGGGCGUAAAGCGUGCGUAGGUGGUCUUUUAAGUCGGAUGUGAAAUCCCUGAGCUUAACUUAGGAAUUGCAUUCGAUACUGGGAGACUAGAGUAUGGGAGAGGAUGGUAGAAUUCCAGGUGUAGCGGUGAAAUGCGUAGAGAUCUGGAGGAAUACCGAUGGCGAAGGCAGCCAUCUGGCCUAAUAC
rnacentral:rRNA from 1 species